GUCCUAGCCCUAAACCAUCGGAACUUGGGGUGGCCCGCGUAGGCGGGUCGUCCCGUAGCUAACGCGUUAAGUUCCGCGCCUGGGGGAGUACGGUCGCAAGACUGAAACUCAAAGGAAUUGACGGGGGCCCGCACAAGCGGUGGAACAUGUGGUUCAAUUCGACGCAACGCGAAGAACCUUACCUGGGCUUGAACCGCUACUGACCAACGGUAGAAAUAUCGUCUUCUCGCAAGAGACAGUAGUAGAGGUGCUGCAUGGCUGUCGU
rnacentral:rRNA from 1 species